AUGUGGUUUAAUUCGAAGCAACGCGAAGAACCUUACCAGGUCUUGACAUCCUCUGACAACCCUAGAGAUAGGGCUUUCCCUUCGGGGACAGAGUGACAGGUGGUGCAUGGUUGUCGUCAGCUCGUGUCGUGAGAUGUUGGGUUAAGUCCCGCAACGAGCGCAACCCUUGAUCUUAGUUGCCAGCAUUCAGUUGGGCACUCUAAGGUGACUGCCGGUGACAAACCGGAGGAAGGUGGGGAUGACGUCAAAUCAUCAUGCCCCUUAUGACCUGGGCUACACACGUGCUACAAUGGACAGAACAAAGGGCUGCAAGACCGCAAGGUUUAGCCAAUCCCAUAAAUCUGUUCUCAGUUCGGAUCGCAGUCUGCAACUCGACUGCGUGAAGCUGGAAUCGCUAGUAAUCGCGGAUCAGCAUGCCGCGGUGAAUACGUUCCCGGGCCUUGUACACACCGCCCGUCACACCACGAGAGUUUGCAACACCCGAAGUCGGUGAGUAACCUUUAUGGAGCCAGCCGCCGAAGGUGGGGCA
rnacentral:rRNA from 1 species